GACGAACGCUGGCGGCGUGCUUAACACAUGCAAGUCGAGCGGUAAGGCCCUUUCGGGGUACGACGAGCGGCGAACGGGUGAGUAACACGUGGGUGACCUGCCCUCAGCUCUGGGAUAAGCCUGGGAAACUGGGUCUAAUACUGGAUAUGACUCCACGGUGCAUGUCGUGGGGUGGAAAGCCUUGUGCGGCUGAGGAUGGGCCCGCGGCCUAUCAGCUUGUUGGUGGGGUGAGGCCUACCAAGGCGACGACGGGUAGCCGGCCUGAGAGGGCGACCGGCCACACUGGGACUGAGACACGGCCCAGACUCCUACGGGAGGCAGCAGUGGGGAAUCUUGCGCAAUGGGCGAAAGCCUGACGCAGCGACGCCGCGUGAGGGAUGACGGCCU
rnacentral:rRNA from 1 species